GCCAGUGUGGUGUAGUGCUUUGUAUGUUGGACUAGGACUCUGGAGACCAGGGUUCAAAUCUCUGCUCGGCC